UACGUAGGGCGCAAGCGUUGUCCGGAAUUAUUGGGCGUAAAGAGCUCGUAGGCGGUCUGUCGCGUCGGCUGUGAAAACGCGAGGCUCAACCUCGCGCCUGCAGUGGGUACGGGCAGACUAGAGUGCGGUAGGGGAGAUUGGAAUUCCUGGUGUAGCGGUGGAAUGCGCAGAUAUCAGGAGGAACACCGAUCGGCGAAGGCCAGAUCUCUGGGCCGUUACUGACGCUGAGGAGCGAAAGCGUGGGAGC
rnacentral:rRNA from 1 species